AGAGUUUCGAGCGCCGCUUCCUGGCGGCGCGCACGCUGCGCUCCUUCCCCUGGCAGGGGGGCGGCGGGCGAGCGGAGAGGCCCGCGGGGCUCGCGGGAGUCCAGGGGCAGACGGGAUGGGUCUCCGUGCUGAAACCCCCGGCGCUCCUGCCACAGCUUAGAAGCAAAGUUAAGAGACUCAUCAGAUUCUGAGCUGCUGCGGGAUAUUUUGCAGAAGCACGAGGCUGUCCACAUGGAGGCUUUGGACGAGCUGUAUGAGGCACUGGCAGAGACCCUGAUGGCCAAGGAGUCCACCCAGGGCCACCGGAGUUAUUUGCUGACGUGCUGUAUUGCCCAGAAGCCAUCGUGUCGCUGGUCGGGAUCCUGCGGAGGCUGGCUGCCUGCUGGGAGCACCAGCAGUCUCCUGAGGUCUACGUGGCCUUUACCGUCCACAACCCAGAGACGUGCCAGCUGUUCACCACCGAGCUAGGCCGGGCUGGGAUCAUAUGGGAAGCGGAAGCUCAUCAUGACCAGAAACUGUUUCCCUAUGGAGAGCACUUGGAGAUGGCAAUGCUGAACCUCACACUGUAGGACUCACACACGACUCCAACGGGAUUGUGAGAAUCAAGUCAAUCUCAUGGGAAGAAUUUUUAUAUGGGAAAGCGGAUAAAACUUUCAUUGUACUGGAAUGUUUGGAGAAUGUUAAAUUCCAAAUCAGAAACCACAAACUGCCCUCUAAUAAGACAUCGGCUA
ensembl:lncRNA FAM86DP family with sequence similarity 86 member D, pseudogene